CAGUGCCACGGGACUAUGUAUGUGAAUUGUAUGUCAAGGCGAAACCAGAAGAGGCUGCAGAGGAACUGGCGGGCAGCUUAGGGGAACCCUCAUAUGGAUCGCCCCCAGAACAAGCAGGACCACCAGCAACAGAAACAGCAGCAGAGGAGAGUAAUGCACAUAGGUCAACGUGUGAUAACAUCCAGAACAAACCAACACUCCCAGAACAACCAAUACCUACACCCGAUGCUGCAAGAGGAGAAUUAGGAGCAUUGCUGCAGACACUGUGUAAUGUUUUGGAGGUUCUAGUGCAGAAGGUGGAGCAUUUUGACUCUGUAGUGGAUCGUUUUGACCGUCACAUAUCAACAUUGGAGACCAGUGUUGAUCGCAUCUCCAUGUGAAGGCUCGCCUACAAGCAAGGAGGUUGCCAUCAUAGAGAGCCUGUUUGAUGGGAGGGAAUGGGUGCAACCAUUGUGUGUGUGUGUGCGCGCAUGUUGUUGUCAAUGUGCCCCCUUUUAUUUUUACCACCAAGCUGUGACGUAACACUCAGUGGUUUUGUUUUACACUUAAUGUCUUGUGUCCUUUUGUUCUUAUUUUCUCCAGUGGCCUGUGCUGCAACAAGCAUCGGUUGAUGUUAUUUGCUGUUAAUUUCAUGUCUCCCAGUGCACUGUUACUGUCUUGUUCCCCCUGGAGUAUGUGUGUGUGAGAGUCUUAUAUGAAAAAUGUCUUAAAAUAUGUUUUUAUUUAAAAGUUAUAUUUUCAUUGAUACUUUAACAUAGUCUCUUUGUUAAUUUCUGUUUUGGGCAGGAAUGAGGGAGGUGGAGGGGCGCGAAGAAGGAAGGUGGGUGAGGAUGCAGGAAAAAGACAGCAAUACACGUACUCCAUUCUCAUGAAGCAGCAGCAACUACACAAGAGGAAGGAUGGAGGAA